UAUGUGAUCGUCUCUCGCAUAUCAAUAAGCGGAGGAAAAGAAACUAACAAGGAUUCCCCUAGUAACGGCGAGUGAAGCGGGAAGAGCUCAAAUUUGAAAUCUUAAAGGGUUUCCCUUUACGAAUUGUAGUUUAAAGAAGUGUUUUCUGUUGAGGUUUUGGUAAAAGUUCUUUGGAAUAGGACAUCAUAGAGGGUGAGAAUCCCGUAUUUGACCUUUACUUUCAACUUUGUGAUACACUUUCAAAGAGUCGGAUUGUUUGGGAAUGCAGUCCAAAAUGGGUGGUAAAUUUCAUCUAAAGCUAAAUAUUGGCGAGAGACCGAUAGCGAACAAGUACCGUGAGGGAAAGAUGAAAAGAACUUUGAAAAGAGAGUUAAACAGUACGUGAAAUUGUCAAAAGGGAAGCGUUUGACACCAGUGUUGUUUUUCUGAAAAUCAAUUAAAGAACUGUUUAUGCUAAGCUGUUUAGACUUUAUCAGCUAUACUGUUUAGUUUUGAGCUUUUCUUUAAUGCACUUUUCAGUUAACAAGUCAACAUCAAUUUCUUUUGCUGUAAAAAAGCUUGAGGAAGGUGGCUUGAGAUUCGUCUUAAGUGUUUAUAGCCUCUUGCCUAUGCAGUCGGAGAGAUUGAGGUCUGCAGCGUAGAUCCUUCGGGGCUAAAUGCAUUUGUGCUAAGUUAUAGCAUUUUAUAGACAACUUGUUGACUAUGAUUUGUCUUGUAGCUUACUCGCUUAUGUUAUUUUACCUACGCUUAGGAUGUUGAAGACUCUACAGAGAUA
rnacentral:rRNA from 1 species